AGAUUAAGUUAUUAAGGGCGCACGGUGGAUGCCUUGGCACUAGAAGCCGAUGAAGGACGUUACUAACGACGAUAUGCUUUGGGGAGCUGUAAGUAAGCUUUGAUCCAGAGAUUUCCGAAUGGGGAAACCCAGCAUGAGUUAUGUCAUGUUAUCGAUAUGUGAAUACAUAGCAUAUCAGAAGGCACACCCGGAGAACUGAAACAUCUUAGUACCCGGAGGAAGAGAAAGAAAAUUCGAUUCCCUUAGUAGCGGCGAGCGAAACGGGAAGAGCCCAAACCAACAAGCUUGCUUGUUGGGGUUGUAGGACACUCUAUACGGAGUUACAAAGGACGACAUUAGACGAAUCAUCUGGAAAGAUGAAUCAAAGAAGGUAAUAAUCCUGUAGUCGAAAAUGUUGUCUCUCUUGAGUGGAUCCUGAGUACGACGGAGCACGUGAAAUUCCGUCGGAAUCUGGGAGGACCAUCUCCUAAGGCUAAAUACUCUCUAGUGACCGAUAGUGAACCAGUACCGUGAGGGAAAGGUGAAAAGCACCCCGGAAGGGGAGUGAAAUAGAACCUGAAACCGUGUGCUUACAAGUAGUCAG
rnacentral:rRNA from 1 species